AGAGUUUGAUCAUGGCUCAGAUUGAACGCUGGCGGCAUGCCUUACACAUGCAAGUCGAACGGUAACGCGGGGGCAACCCUGGCGACGAGUGGCGAACGGGUGAGUAAUACAUCGGAACAUAUCCAGUAGCGGGGGAUAACCUAUCGAAAGAUGGACUAAUACCGCAUACGAUCUACGGAUGAAAGCAGGGGACCGCAAGGCCUUGCACUAUUGGAGUGGCCGAUGUCGGAUUAGCUAGUUGGUGGGGUAAAAGCUUACCAAGGCGACGAUCCGUAGCUGGUCUGAGAGGACGAUCAGCCACACUGGAACUGAGACACGGUCCAGACUCCUACGGGAGGCAGCAGUGGGGAAUUUUGGACAAUGGGCGCAAGCCUGAUCCAGCCAUGCCGCGUGAGUGAAGAAGGCCUUCGGGUUGCAAAGCUCUUUCGGUGAAGACGAAACGGUUCAUGCUAAUAACGUGAACUAAUGACGGUACUCACAGAAGAAGCACCGGCUAACUACGUGCCAGCAGCCGCGGUAAUACGUAGGGUGCAGGCGUUAAUCGGAAUUACUGGGCGUAAAGCGUGCGCAGGCGGUUUGCUAAGACAGGUGUGAAAUCCCCGGGCUUAACCUGGAAUUGCGCUUGUAACUGGCAAGCUAGAGUGUGGCAGAGGGGGGUGGAAUUCCACGUGUAGCAGUGAAAUGCGUAGAUAUGUGGAGGAACACCGAUGGCGAAGGCAGCCCCCUGGGUUAACACUGACGCUCAUGCACGAAAGCGUGGGGAGCAAACAGGAUUAGAUACCCUGGUAGUCCACGCCCUAAACUAUGUCAACUAGUUGUCGGGGAAGAAAUUCCUUGGUAACGAAGCUAACGCGUGAAGUUGACCGCCUGGGGAGUACGGCCGCAAGGUUAAAACUCAAAGGAAUUGACGGGGACCCGCACAAGCGGUGGAUUAUGUGGAUUAAUUCGAUGCAACGCGAAAAACCUUACCUACCCUUGACAUGCUAGGAAGCCCGCAGAGAUGUGGGUGUGCCCGAAAGGGAACCUAGACACAGGUGCUGCAUGGCUGUCGUCAGCUCGUGUCGUGAGAUGUUGGGUUAAGUCCCGCGACGAGCGCAACCCUUGCCAUUAGUUGCUACAUUCAGUUGGGCACUCUAAUGGGACCGCCGGUGACAAACCGGAGGAAGGUGGGGAUGACGUCAAGUCCUCAUGGCCCUUAUGGGUAGGGCUUCACACGUAAUACAAUGGUCGGUACAGAGGGCUGCCAACCCGCAAGGGGGAGCUAAUCCCAGAAAGCCGAUCGUAGUCCGGAUUGUAGUCUGCAACUCGACUGCAUGAAGCCGGAAUCGCUAGUAAUCGCGGAUCAGCAUGUCGCGGUGAAUACGUUCCCGGGUCUUGUACACACCGCCCGUCACACCAUGGGAGUGGGUUCCACCAGAAGUAGUUAGCCUAACCGCAAGGAGGGCGAUUACCACGGUGAGAUUCAUGACUGGGGUGAAGUCGUAACAAGGUA
rnacentral:rRNA from 1 species